GUUGUCAGGGAUUCAGUGGUUAAAGCUUUCUUGCUGAUCUUGCUGGCUGUAGCUUGCCGCCACACUGGCUGUUGGGGAACAAACCUGGCCAAUCCGAUGAUUCUGAAGAUCAUGGGACUUUGGGGAGACACAAGAUGGCUGUGGCUGUUGCAGUUGUUCUGUCAAGAAUAAUUAAAGCUGCUGCGGUAAAUGAAUGAAGAAACUUCGAGUACCACAAGCUGAGAACUACCUGGUGAUGAAAAAGCUCCAUCUUGAAUGACAGUGAGGAGGAGACAGCUGAACGUAGGCCCUACUCAAGUCCGCUUCUGAAACAGGUUGGGAGGAUCUACCGCAUUCCAUUGCAUCUCAAAAUAAGUUACGGAAGAACUACCAUGAUCCUUUUACAAUGAACUUAGCAGGGGAGCUCGUGCCAUACACAGCCUCUGCCACAAGAAAUGCUGACACAUCCCUGGGAUAACAAAGGGACUGUGUAGCAAUCUGAAGGUAAGUUGCCUUUUUCAUUACGAAUCAUCAUUGUACAGUUAAACCUCAUUAAUUGUCGGUCGGUAUUAUUCUGUUUACGCAGAAAAGAGAUUCUUUCUAAUUUUUACUCUCAAUGUAAAAAUUCACAUUAAUUUUUUAUUUUCGUCACAUUUGUGUCCUCAUACCAGGAUGCUGAGGAGAAUAUUUGCAGCUAAGAGAAAUAAAUUACUAGGAGGCUGGAGAAAGUUGCAUAAUCAGGUGCUUCAUAAGUUGCACCCCUCGCCAAAUAUAAUUAGAAUGGUCAAGUCAAGGAGAGUGAAAUGGACAGAGCAUGUAGCCUGCAUGGGUAGAAGAGGAAUGUAUACAGAGUUUAGUAGGCAAACCAGAAGGAAUGAAACCACUAGGAAGACUAGACGUAGGUGGGAGGAUAAUAUUAAAAUGGAUCUUAGAGAAAUAGGGUGGGUAGUAUGGAAUAGAUUAAUGUGGCUCAGAACAGGAUGCAGUGGCAGGCUCUUGAAAACACAGUAAUGAACCUUCUGGUUCCAUAAAAGGCGAGAAUUUCUUGACCGUUAUUUUACUCUCAGUUUUUCAACAAAUAAAACAAACUCCAGCCAAAACAUUCCACAAAAAAAAGACUCCUCGUUAACAUAUUUUAUUACUUUUUCAAGCUUCUUCGUACUUGCUAAAUUCGAUUCAUUCUUUGUAAACAAGGCCAUGGUUUAGAAUUUCAGAGUGACGAUUUAGACUCCAAGCACAAUCAAGAAAAAGUGGAAGUGAAUUCACUUAAAGUGAGCUUUCUUUCAACGAGAUGGUUCUGUUCCAUUGCUGCAAAAGCUGGCUGCUGGGGAACAAGAAAGUAGCGGUAGGCUAUAGGACAACUGCCAACCAAACAAAAUACCAGCGCCAUUACUUCAUUCCUUCUCAUCUCCAUCUUUGUCCCUCUUUCUGGAUUUUUUCUUUAUCCUUGGUUUCGAUCAUCUCACUGCGUCACAGCUCCAAAGACUACCUCCCCAAGUGCACUCAUACACACAGUUCUCUGUUUGUAUUUUCCUGCACAACCUUACAAUAUCAUUAACGACCCCAUCUGUCCAGUCUUCUUUGUUACAUAAAACGCAUUUGUAUUUAUGGAUAUGCAAUCGAUAAUAUUUAAAUUCUACUCCGUUGUAAAGCUCUAAGAGUUGCAACAGAACAAUGAUUUUGUAACUUUUCAUGUCCGAUCUUCUCUAAAGACAUUAUACAAAUUAACGGACUUCACAAUAAAUGAAAGUGCUUGUCACGUACCAGUAAAAAGUGUUAUAUAUAUCGACUAUUUUACCAAUAUAAUAACUUUUGAAACCGCGCCAUUCUUUUGUAUAUACCCUAUACAUUGGCUGAUCACAACAGCGUAAAAUAGUCAAACUCUCGUAAAGAUAUAAGCUUAGCCAUACCUCAGUGGUUUAAAAAUUGGAUUAUUGUACGGACGCCCAUCAUAAAACAAUGAGAAUAAGCAUAAGUUCAUACAAAUUUAUACCACCCUUGCCCCAGAUAAAUAUCCAUUUAUGUCUAGAUAAUCGAUAUCCCCGUAGACAUUCGAACCAGUUACCUUCCGAAUACAUGUCGAGAGCAUUACAACUCCCUCAAUAAAAUUACUAAGUCCGAAACGAGAAGCAAAUGCAUACUUCACGCAGAUAACAUCAUGAUGUAACAAACAAACAAACAAACAACGCUGUACUUCUGGUCUUUCUUGGAAACUGCGUAAUUUAUAUUGAAGACAAACGUCCGGCGUCUUACUACCAGGAGCUCAAAUGAUGCAAUAGCUCAUGGAGUACAACUGAUUCAACGAGCAGGUUGGUAUACCGAAAAUUACAAACUUGUAGGAACUAUUUUAUGCUUUUACCGGCUUCCCAAAGCCAAUAACGAAAUAAUACGUUCAGAACAGGCCACGACUACCUGCAUAUAAAUCCUUUAACUCACUAACCACACAAUCUUUUCACUUCAUUCGAAACAGCGGCGUUAAGUAAUAUUAUAGUAAAGUAGUUUGUGAAUUUACAUUCUAGUAAGAGAUAAUAAGUGUGCAUUAGACAAUAAUAACAGUUAUUAACUAAAUGCUGCUACACGAUUGUCAUAGACGACAAAAGUUAAAAUUAAAAAACGAAUUAAUGUUUUUGAAAUGGCUGCUAAAGAAGUAGAAAAAAUAGACGGUGGGUCUAGGCAGCUACAGCUUGUCGCGUCUUCGGUCCCAAACUCGAAACCACCUGUCACCAUAAACAUUCCCAGCCCCCAACAGAAAGAGGGAGAUGGAAAAUCGCUCUAGCGACCAGAGCACGGAUCCCCAUGCCAGCAGCUUGCAUGUCAGGGGGAAUGAAUGAUGCCUGCUAAAUAUCGGCUUGGCUUGGCUUGGCUCGACUCGACUCGGCAUGGACCACGGCAAAGUUACAUCUUUGCAGAGAACAAGUGGCUCAGUCAUACUGCAAAACCCAGUCUAAUUUCUUAUAAUUCUUCUUGUUUCUACCUAACAUCAUAUUGCAUGAUCUUCCUUUAGUGAGAUUCCAGGUUCUCAGGGCGGCGAGCAAGAAGAUGGAAGUUUUCUGGGUUGUUUCAGACGUACUUGCUGCUUCCAUCAUCAAGGCGCCAUCUAACGCCCGCAUACUUCUACCUGACUACAGAAGAUAGCCAUUCCUUCAGUAGUUUUUUCCAGCUGCUGCUUUUAUAAAUUCAGAAGUUUCAAUACCAAACUGUCAAAUAAUUCAUUUGCUUUUCUUUUACGUUUCGACUUUCACACUAAUUUUCGGGAUUUUUUUAAAUUGAAAGGACCAAAUGAAGAUAAAAGGCAAGCGAGGAACUUCGUGAUUUAUGCAAGUAACCUAGUAUUGUUACGACAGUGAAAUACAGAAGGCCACGAUUGGCUGGGCGUGAUGCUACAAUGAGCAGAACAAGGAAUGCAUACAGAAUUUUAAAGGAGAAACACUUUCAAAACUUUCCCGAAGAAGACGGAAGAGGUAAUCGGAGAAGAGCAUUCGAAUAAAUGUUAGAGAGAUAGGAUCUGAAGAAAGGAGGAGAAUGGAAAUGACUCAGGAUCAUGUCUAACUGAGGGCUUUGAAACUAAUGGUGUUGAAUCUUGGGGUCCUGGCAAUUCGACGCUAUAUCAUGUUUGAGCAAGUCACACGUUUUACAGCAAUGCUAAACCUGCUAUGUAACAGAGGUAUGAAAAUAUAAACGCAAGACCCCGUUUCCUGUUUAGCUAUCACAUCUUCCUCUUCAAGGUCCUACUGUUGUGCUGAUACGGACAAUUUUCUUAACCUGAGUGAACAUUUUAUCCCUGCAAGCGAAGAAAGCCACGAGAAAUAUCGCUUCGAAAACUUAUUUUGAACAUCUAGUGGAUACAAACCAAUGAGCAUAAUUUUGUAACCUCUAUAUUUAUUAUCAGUUUUAAUCUUAACCAGCAAGUAUAAAUAAUUAGCUAUUUUUUAAAUAUGAUUUAUAUAACAAACUUUUGUCAGACUUUUUGUGACAGUGUCAGUCGCUUCUGUUCUUAUUCUGAUGGCAGCUCAACACUACGUACUGUUUUUCUCCGUUCCUUCAGGCAAAUGCCAGGAUACUGCCUUACAUUAAGCCACUACCGCAUCCUUUCCAAUUCGUCAAUCAUUAAUCAUCCUAACACUCCAUGUUUCUAGCCUUAGCUACUGGAAAUGACGUUAAAUAUGACACAAAUAAAUAAAACAUGUUUACCACUA